AUACGGAGGAUCCGAGCGUUAUCCGGAUUUAUUGGGUUUAAAGGGUGCGCAGGCGGCCAUUUAAGUCAGCGGUUCAAUCGUGGGGCUCAACCCCAUUCUGCCGUUGAUCCUGGGUGGCUUGAUUGCGGUCGAGGUUGGCGGAAUUCGUUGUGUAGCGGUGAAAUGCAUAGAUAUGACGAAGAACACCGAUUGCGUAGGCAGCUGACCAGAUCGCAAAUGACGCUCAUGCACGAAAGUGCGGGGAUCGUACAGGAUUAGAUACCCUGGUAGUCCGCACAGUAAACGAUGAAUACUUGUUUUCGGCGAUAUAAUGUCGGAGGCAAAGCGAAAGCGAUAAGUAUUCCACCUGGGGAGUACGCCGGCAACGGUGAAACUCAAAUGAAUCGACGGGG
rnacentral:rRNA from 1 species